rnacentral:rRNA from 1 species
AAAGGAAUAGACGGGGGCCCGCACAAGCGGUGGAGCAUGUUGCUUAAUUCGAGGCAACGCGAAGAACCUUACCCGGGUUUGACAUGUAAAUGCCCGGCUGUGAAAGCAGCCUUUCCUUCGGGACUUUUACACAGAUGCUGCAUGGCUGUCGUCAGCUCGUGCCGUGAGGUGUUCGGUUAAGUCCGGCAACGAGCGCAACCCGUGCUGUCAGUUACCAUCAGGUGAUGCUGGGGACUCUGGCAGGACUGCCCGUGUCAAGCGGGAGGAAGGCGCGGAUGACGUCAAGUCCGUAUGGCUCUUACAUCCGGGGCUGCAAACGUGCUACAAUGGUCGGUACAAUGGGAUGCUCUCCUGCGAAGGUUUGCCAAUCUCCAAAGCCGGCCCCAGUUCGGAUCGCAGUCUGCAACUCGACUGCGUGAAGUCGGAAUCGCUAGUAAAGGGAUAUCAGCAACGGUCCCUUGAAUACGUUCCCGGGCCUUGUACACACCGCCCGU